rnacentral:rRNA from 1 species
UACGUAGGGGGCAAGCGUUGUCCGGAAUCAUUGGGCGUAAAGCGCGUGUAGGCGGCUUGGUAAGUCCGUUCUGAAAGCCCGGGGCUCAACCCCGGGAGGCGGAUGGAUACUGCUGAGCUCGAGUCCGGAAGAGGCGAGUGGAAUUCCUGGUGUAGCGGUGAAAUGCGCAGAUAUCAGGAGGAACACCAAUGGCGAAGGCAGCUCGCUGGGACGGUACUGACGCUGAGGUGCGAAAGCGUGGGGAGCAAACAGG